rnacentral:lncRNA from 1 species
CACUGACAAUGACACAAUUCCCAUUGCCUAGAUGGAACCUGCUCAACAGGGUUUGGGCCAAUAAUUUCAUUUCUUUUUAAGGCAACACAGCUCUUUGAUGAGAUUGCUACAAGAAACUAAGGACUCUUGUAUACAGCAGAUUUAUAUUCCUUUAAGUUCCUCAUCAAGUGCAUACAUUUAACAGGAUUUCUCUUGACAACCAGGUAACAUUCCUUUUAUCCCACCAUGUAAAGGUACACCAAUUUUUUUGCAUGAAUUCAUGGAUCUUUUUAUCUCCCCCAUUGGACUACCUCGCCUAGAGACAUCACUCUCGCAAGCUUCUAGCAGGGUUCUUGCCCUCCCAAAGUCCUUCGAGAUUUAAAAAGAUUCAUUUUGUUGGUUGUUGUUUUUCCAAAGUGGAGUAAGGCUGGCAUGCUACAAAAUGAAGUGCCAGCACCCAAUGCCAUCUUUAUUUUCAGUUAUGUUUCUAGAGGCAUUCUUUGGAUAUAAAAAUGCCCGAUGACUACAGUUGAGCAGCUUUUGAAGAACACUCAAACAUGUAGGAAAAAAGGCAAAGAAAGGGGGGAAAGUAAGCUUUUGUGGCUUGGAGAAUCCUGACUGGGGGCCAGAGAGCAUCUUGGGAGUUGACUGGAGCAAUGUUUUGAAUGUUGCCUAAUACGUAGCUUUGUCUUGUUGUUUAAUGUGGUCUUUGAUUGGGGAAUUUUUUUUUGUCAUGGUGUGUUUGGCCUGAUAUGUUUUCUGUUGAAGCUGGGAAGGGGGUGAUCGAACAUGCAUUUUGCUUGAUGCCAUGCAUGUGAGCUAUAUGAAGUGCUUGAAGUGUGAAUGUUUUGCCUAUGUGUGUGCACUGCUGAACAUUACCAGUUUGUCUUCUAUAAAAAUGAACAUUUUGUUGUGCCUUAUGAAAUAAAAUAUCUGAUUUGACAUUUGGAGCUCUGGAUUCGCCUUUGCCUUUUAAAAUUUCUUGGCUAAGUUACAUACAUCUGAACCUUAUCCACUUCUUUUCAAGGAAAUACACAGGUAUUGGAGCAGAAUAUUGUGGGUCCAAGACAGGUUUUAUGCCUUGCAGUUCACCUUUGUUUUCAAUGUAUUUGUCAGGUUACUUUUCUUUCAAACCCAUGGUUUUUUAAUCUUGUGGGAAUCUAAUAUCUUUAUGAAUGACCAUGCUGUGGCAGCCAUUUUGUACAUAGCCAGUCUCUCAGGGCAGCCAUUUUGUGAGAGGCUUCACAUUACAUUCCCAGUGAACUCACUGCCUGUUUUUAAACCCUUCAUAUUAUGCAGAGGUAUGGUGGUUAGUGGACUGAGUCCUCUUCUUUGGGACACCAUCAUGUGAAGCAUCUCAGUUUCCAUGUUCCUUAUGUGAUAUUAUUCUUUCUCCACCUGUUUUUGAGCCAUGCAAACUCUUCCAUAUCACACAUGUCCUGAAUAAAGCAAAACAGAGCACCCA